GAGGAAUAUUGGGCAAUGGGGGCAACCCUGACCCAGCCAUGCCGCGUGAGUGAAGAAGGUUUUCGAAUUGUAAAGCUCUUUCGGAUGUGAAGAUAAUGACGGUAGCAUCUAAAGAAGCCCCGGCAAACUUCGUGCCAGCAGCCGCGGUAAUACGAAGGGGGCAAGCGUUGUUCGGAAUUACUGGGCGUAAAGGGAGUGUAGGUGGACGUGUAAGAUAGCGGUGAAAUGCCGGGGCUCAACCUCGGAAUUGCCAUUAUAACUAUGCGUCUAGAAUUAUAGAGAGGAUAGUGGAAUACCCAGUGUAGAGGUGAAAUUCGUAGAUAUUGGGUAGAACACCGGUGGCGAAGGCGACUAUCUGGCUAUAUAUUGACACUGAGGCUCGAAAGCAUGGGGAUCAAAC
rnacentral:rRNA from 1 species